UACGAAGGGGGCUAGCGUUGCUCGGAAUCACUGGGCGUAAAGCGCACGUAGGCGGAUUGCUAAGUCAGGGGUGAAAUCCUGGAGCUCAACUCCAGAACUGCCUUUGAUACUGGCGAUCUCGAGUCCGGGAGAGGUGAGUGGAACUGCGAGUGUAGAGGUGAAAUUCGUAGAUAUUCGCAAGAACACCAGUGGCGAAGGCGGCUCACUGGCCCGAUACUGACGCUGAGGCACGAAAGCGUGAGGAGCAAACAGG
rnacentral:rRNA from 1 species